rnacentral:lncRNA from 1 species
AGAACCUGGUCCCACUUGGGCUUUAGUUCUGAUCCCUGAUCCACCAAGAUGUGACAAGCUAUAGUCAAAUUCCUACUACCAUGCAUCUCAAGCCACCAUGUAGUCCUUGUUGUGAUGGACGGUAGCCCCUAAACCAGGAGCCUGAAUAAGAGAAAGUGGGAACUUGUGCAUUCAGAGUGGAGGGCAGUCGUUGAAUAAAUGAAUGAGAAGAAGGGAGACUCCAUCCAGUGUGUGGUCCAAGCUGAUGGAUGCCAAAGGGUGUUCAGGUUGGGAAGUCUUCCUUUGUGGCCUUUGCAGUAAAGACUGACUCAGGAGAGAACCAUCAGUGGAUGCCACGUGUAAGAGACGACUCUGGAGGCACAGAGAUGGCUCAGUUGUUAAAGGCGUGUACUGUUCAUGGAGAGGACUGGAGUUAACACUCAUGUCAGGUGACUCACAACUAUCUGUGACUCCAGCUCUAGGGGUCUUAAGGUCUAACCCCCACCCAAUGCCAGCUUCUGGCUUCUAUAGGCACCUGCAUAGGUAUAUGUGGGCACAUAUACAUACAUACACAUAAAUAAAAAUAAGAAUUUUUUUAAAUGAAGGACGAAUAUGGGGCCAGAAAGAUGGCUUCAGUGGGUAAAGAUGCUUGCCACCAAGCCUGAUGACCCAAGCAGACAUAUAUAAAUGUAAAAAAUAUAUAAUUUAAAAAAUAAAAUGAAGAACAUGUUUGGGGCUCAGGGGCAGUGCAGUGCUGUCUAGUAUAACAGUUGCCCUGGGUUUGAUUCUCAGUACAGGG